UACGUAGGGUGCGAGCGUUAAUCGGAUUUACUGGGCGUAAAGCGUGCGCAGGCGGCCCGUUAAGACAGGUGUGAAAUCCCUGGGCUCAACCUAGGAAUUGCGCUUGUGACUGGCGGGCUCGAGUACGGUAGAGGGGGGUGGAAUUCCUGGUGUAGCAGUGAAAUGCGUAGAGAUCAGGAGGAACACCGAUGGCGAAGGCAGCCACCUGGGCCUGUACUGACGCUCAUGCACGAAAGCGUGGGGAGCAAACAGG
rnacentral:rRNA from 1 species